GUUGUUGGGUAGGGGAGCGUUCUGUAAGCCUGUGAAGGUGGCCUGUGAGGGUUGCUGGAGGUAUCAGAAGUGCGAAUGCUGACAUAAGUAACGAUAAAGCGGGUGAAAAGCCCGCUCGCCGGAAGACCAAGGGUUCCUGUCCAACGUUAAUCGGGGCAGGGUGAGUCGACCCCUAAGGCGAGGCCGAAAGGCGUAGUCGAUGGGAAACGGGUUAAUAUUCCCGUACUUGGUGUUACUGCGAAGGGGGGACGGAGAAGGCUAUGUUGGCCGGGCGACGGUUGUCCCGGUUUAAGCGUGUAGGUGUGUGUUCCAGGUAAAUCCGGUUCACUUUAACACUGAGGCGUGAUGACGAGGCACUACGGUGCUGAAGCAACAAAUGCCCUGCUUCCAGGAAAAGCCUCUAAGCAUCAGGUAACAUCAAAUCGUACCCCAAACCGACACAGGUGGUCAGGUAGAGAAUACCAAGGCGCUUGAGAGAACUCGGGUGAAGGAACUAGGCAAAAUGGUGCCGUAACUUCGGGAGAAGGCACGCUGACACGUAGGUGAAGUGAUUUACUCACGGAGCUGAAGUCAGUCGAAGAUACCAGCUGGCUGCAACUGUUUAUUAAAAACACAGCACUGUGCAAACACGAAAGUGGACGUAUACGGUGUGACGCCUGCCCGGUGCCGGAAGGUUAAUUGAUGGGGUCAGCGCAAGCGAAGCUCCUGAUCGAAGCCCCGGUAAACGGCGGCCGUAACUAUAACGGUCCUAAGGUAGCGAAAUUCCUUGUCGGGUAAGUUCCGACCUGCACGAAUGGCGUAAUGAUGGCCAGGCUGUCUCCACCCGAGACUCAGUGAAAUUGAACUCGCUGUGAAGAUGCAGUGUACCCGCGGCAAGACGGAAAGACCCCGUGAACCUUUACUAUAGCUUGACACUGAACAUUGAGCCUUGAUGUGUAGGAUAGGUGGGAGGCUUUGAAGUGUGGACGCCAGUCUGCAUGGAGCCGACCUUGAAAUACCACCCUUUAAUGUUUGAUGUUCUAACGUGGACCCGUAAUCCGGGUUGCGGACAGUGUCUGGUGGGUAGUUUGACUGGGGCGGUCUCCUCCUAAAGAGUAACGGAGGAGCACGAAGGUUGGCUAAUCCUGGUCGGACAUCAGGAGGUUAGUGCAAUGGCAUAAGCCAGCUUGACUGCGAGCGUGACGGCGCGAGCAGGUGCGAAAGCAGGUCAUAGUGAUCCGGUGGUUCUGAAUGGAAGGGCCAUCGCUCAACGGAUAAAAGGUACUCCGGGGAUAACAGGCUGAUACCGCCCAAGAGUUCAUAUCGACGGCGGUGUUUGGCACCUCGAUGUCGGCUCAUCACAUCCUGGGGCUGAAGUAGGUCCCAAGGGUAUGGCUGUUCGCCAUUUAAAGUGGUACGCGAGCUGGGUUUAGAACGUCGUGAGACAGUUCGGUCCCUAUCUGCCGUGGGCGCUGGAGAACUGAGGGGGGCUGCUCCUAGUACGAGAGGACCGGAGUGGACGCAUCACUGGUGUUCGGGUUGUCAUGCCAAUGGCACUGCCCGGUAGCUAAAUGCGGAAGAGAUAAGUGCUGAAAGCAUCUAAGCACGAAACUUGCCCCGAGAUGAGUUCUCCCUGAGACUU
rnacentral:rRNA from 1 species